AGAUAGUUACCUUUCAGAAAAUUCUAAUGAUAGGCGAAAUGUCUAUGUUUUAUUCUUCUGAAGGUGGGAGAAAAGAUAAAACUAAAAUAAACCGGAUUUUAAAUCCAAACUUAAGAUUUAAGUUUGAAACUCAUUUUAUUAACUUCUUUUCGUUAACCCGAAAAAAUGGGAUAGAUCUACGAGAAAUCUUAUUAAGUUAGAUAUGGUAGAUUUAAAUGGGAUACAAAAAGAGUUGACUGGCGAGCCGUAUGAGGUAGGAAACUCUCAAGUACGGUUCUAAGGGAAGGAAUUAACCCACCUAUUCCGACCGAGGAGAACAGGCCAUUCGCCAGGGGGGUUCUGAAAUUGCGGAGGCUUGGUUCGACCAAGCCGAACAACAACUAGAAUUAGAGGUGCCGAAUUUGCAAAAAUGAUGAAAGUUAUUAAUAAACAAGUAAAACACAAAACACACACUCUAGGUGUGUUCUGUGGAUCGACCAGGAGCAAAGAACCAAGAAGAAACCCUUGUUCAAAAUUCUCAAAAUUAGAAGGGUUUAAGAAGCCAACUCAGAUGCAUGAACUCAAAAUCUUAAUCAUCUAAGCUUGUUCAUCAAAGUGGCGGUACCUCACUGCCCGACUAGCGCCUAGCGCCUUCUACAACAUUGUGUAUAGGUGUAAAGGAAGAAAGUUCAAGUCAAGCAAAGCAACAAGGGAAUCAAGAUCGAGGUAAAACUCAAGUCUAAAUGGUCAAGCUUCGCUCGAAUCGAACACAUUUCGAAUGCCCUCCAUGCACUUCUGCAACUUUUGAAAUAAUGUUAACGGGUCAAAAAUACUUUUGUUAAAUAGCUUAUGUUUGGUAGUUAAACUUUA